GACGAACGCUGGCGGCGUGCCUAAUACAUGCAAGUAGAACGCUGAAGAGAGGAGCUUACUCUUCUUGGAUGAGUUGCGAACGGGUGAGUAACGCGUAGGUAACCUGCCUUGUAGCGGGGGAUAACUAUUGGAAACGAUAGCUAAUACCGCAUAACAAUGGAUGACACAUGUCAUUUAUUUGAAAGGGGCAAUUGCUCCACUACAAGAUGGACCUGCGUUGUAUUAGCUAGUAGGUGAGGUAAUGGCUCACCUAGGCGACGAUACCUAGCCGGCCUGAGAGGGGGAUCGGCCAAACUGGGAAUGAGACCAGGCCCCGAAUCCUACGGGAGGCAGCAGUAGGGAAUCUUCGGCAAUGGGGGCAACCCUGACCGAGCAACGCCGCGUGAGUGAAGAAGGUUUUCGGAUCGUAAAGCUCUGUUGUAAGUCAAGAACGGGUGUGAGAGUGGAAAGUUCACACUGUGACGGUAGCUUACCAGAAAGGGACGGCUAACUACGUG
rnacentral:rRNA from 1 species